CUUUGGACAAUGGGCGAAAGCCUGAUCCAGCAAUGCCGCGUGCAGGAUGAAGGCCUUCGGGUUGUAAACUGCUUUUGUACGGAACGAAACGGUUCUCCUUAAUACGGGGGGCUAAUGACGGUACCGUAAGAAUAAGCACCGGCUAACUACGUGCCAGCAGCCGCGGUAAUACGUAGGGUGCGAGCGUUAAUCGGAAUUACUGGGCGUAAAGCGUGCGCAGGCGGUUAUAUAAGACAGAUGUGAAAUCCCCGGGCUCAACCUGGGACCUGCAUUUGUGACUGUAUAGCUAGAGUACGGUAGAGGGGGAUGGAAUUCCGCGUGUAGCAGUGAAAUGCGUAGAUAUGCGGAGGAACACCGAUGCCGAAGGCAAUCCCCUGGACCUGUACUGACGCUCAUGCAGGAA
rnacentral:rRNA from 1 species